rnacentral:rRNA from 1 species
AGAGUUUGAUCCUGGCUCAGGAUGAACGCUGGCGGUGUGGAUAAGGCAUGCAAGUCAAGGGGUUGCUUUCGGGCAACACCGGCGAAUGGGUUAGUAACACGUAACUACCUACCCAAUACACAGGUAUAGUCCAAAGAAAUUUGGGUUAAUUCCUGAUAGUCUGGCAUUUAUUGUCAGUAAAGGCGCAAGCCGGUAUUGGACGGGGUUGCGGUCUAUCAGCUUGAAGGCGGGGUAAAAGCCCACCUUGGCUAUGACGGAUAGGGGGUGUGAGAGCAUGUUCCCCAACAAUGGUACUGAGACACGGACCAUACUCCUACGGGAGGCAGCAGUCGAGAAUAUUAGGCAAUGGGCGAAAGCCUGACCUAGCGACACCGCGUGCUUGAAGAAGCCCUUCGGGGUGUAAAGAGCUUUUCUAAAAGAACAAGUCGCGUUUCACUAUUGUUCAGUGUUGACGGAUUUUUAAGUUUGAUAUUGAGCAGUAGCGAGGCGCGAUUGAGCGUAUUUUAGGAAUAAGGGGCUGCUAACUCUGUGCCAGCAGCAGCGGUAAUACAGAGGCCCCAAGCGUUAUCCGGAUUUAUUGGGCGUAAAGCGUUCGUAGGCGUUUUAUCAGGUUCUUCGUUAAAUACCAGCGCUUAACGUUGGAAAUGAGGAGAAAACCGAUAAAAUAGAGGACGUUAGAGGCAGAUAGAACAUUCGGAGUAGGGGUGAAAUCCGUUGAUAUCGAAUGAAAUACCAAAUGCGAAGGCAUUCUGCUGGGGCGGUCCUGACGCUGAGGAACGAAAGCGUGGGGAGAAAAAAAGGAUUAGAUACCCUUGUAUUGCACGCCGUAAACGAUGGAUACUGGCUAUUGGUAGUGUCGACCCUAUCAGUGGCGAAGCUAACGCGUUAAGUAUCCCGCCUGGGAAGUACGGCCGCAAGGCUAAAACUCAAAGGAAUAGACGGGGACUCACACAAGCGGUGGACCAUGUGGCUUAAUUCGAUGAUAAGCGAAGAACCUUACCAGGGCUUGACAAGAUAGUGAAACUCUAAUGAAAGUUAGAGCUUCUGCAAGGACACUAUCCCAGGUGCUGCAUGGUUGUCGUCAGCAGGUGCUGUGAAGCGCUCCCUUUAAUGGGGAAACCUGCGCAACCCUUGCUCUAUGUUUUAUAUGUCAUAGAGGACUGCCCGGGAUAACUGGGAGGAAGGUGAGGAUGACGCCAAAUCAGCAUGGCCCUUUGAUGCCCUGGGCCGCACACGUGGUACAAUGGCCGAUACAACGGGUUGCGAAACCGCAAGGUGGAGCUAAUCCUAUCAAAAUCGGUCUCAGUUCGGAUUGAGGUCUGAAACUCGACCUUAUGAAGUUGGAAUCGCUAGUAAUCGCCAAUCAGCUAUGUGGCGAUGAAUAUGUUCCUGAGUCUUGUACUCACUGCCCGUCACACCAGGAGAGCUGGCAGCGCCCGAAGCCCCCUACCUUUGCUCCGCAAAGAAAUUUCGAAUUUAAAAUUUUGAAUGAAUUUCGAAUGUUUUAAUGAUUUAAUGAUUUAAUGUUUAAACAUUCAGACAUUAAGUCAUUAAUCAUUCAUUCAAAAUUAAAAAUUCAAAAUUUCUUUAACGAAGUAGAGGUAGGGGUCUAAGGCGAGGUUAGUAAUAAGGGUGAAGUCGUAACAAAGGUA